GUGGGAUUUCUUUGUCACAUAACAAGCUAAUACGAUGGAAUAUGAAGUACCUGCAGAAAAUAAUGAAGACGAUAUAUUUUCGAGAUAUUUUAUCACCAUGCAACGAGCUAAUAUGACGAGAUUUGAUGCAAUUUCUGAAACUGAUUAGGGUGACUUGCCCAUUUGUCUUUCUCCUAAAAUGGAUAAUUAACGAGGCUGACAUCCUUAUAACUAUUUCUCCCAAAAUAGGAAACUAACGAGGAUAACUUUUCUCAUGAGAUUCGUUCUCCCAAAAGGUUGUGAAUACGUCUUCGUACUCGCUUGUCUCUACAAAAGAUUGCCGACAAUCCGUCCAGAAAUUGUGAAAUAUGGAGUUGGCAGUCUGAACUUCUGGCGACAACGUCGACAAUAUCUCCGGGGCCAGCUCAUCGCCCCGUUGAGAAAUGACAAGUUAGCGGCGAGGGCCUGCUUCAAUUGUAGAGGACCCACUAGAUGUCCUCAACCUCUUCGAGAAUUCUGGCCUCGGGCCCCUUGGCAGCAGCAAUUGAGGCCACCAUCAAUUUCUCCCCAGUGGGGACUUCGGACCGAGGCGGGGAAAUCGUGGCAAAGAAUUUAUGUUUCUU
rnacentral:lncRNA from 1 species